CAUCAAACAAGGAAAGGGACAGUAAUUUCUUCGUCGAAACUGUGAGAAAGCGAAUCGGGGGUAGUGAAAGCUCGGUGGCAGUUGAAGAAAUGAACAUCACCCUGGAGUUCCGUGCUGAAAGUAACGAGUAAGCAUUGGCGUCUCAUUCGCGUUAAGAAUGCUUGAGAGGACUUUACCCUUUCCUUUUAUUAUAUAAAAGUUGUAAAGUCUACAAGGGUGGUACCGCGAGAGACCUUCUCGUCCCUUUU
rnacentral:ncRNA from 1 species